CGUAGCUGGAUUUCUGUUACUGGAGGGGUGGUCCGCCUCACGGCGAGCACUGCUAUCCUCUGUGACAUCCUCUCAAAGUUUUAGCGGGUGCACUUAGUUGUGUGGCUGUUGAAUUUGGGAUCUUUACUUUGAAAAAAUUAGAGUGUUCAAAGCAGGCUAUUUGCUUGAAUAUAUUAGCAUGGAAUAAUGGAAUAGGACUUUGGUUCUAUUUUGUUGGUUUCUAGGACUGAAGUAAUGA
rnacentral:rRNA from 1 species